rnacentral:rRNA from 1 species
AAUGAACGUUGGCGGCGUGGAUUAGGCAUGCAAGUCGAGCGAGAACCCAGCAAUGGGGGACAGCGGCGCAAGGGACAGUAAUGUGUAGAUUAUCUGCCCUCGGGUCCGGGAUAGCUGCGGGAAACUGCAGGUAAUACCGGAUAACCUCCCCGGAUCAAAGGUGGGAUUCCGCCCGAGGAUGAGUCUGCAGCCUUUUAGCUAGUUGGCAGGGUAAUGGCCUACCAAGGCGAUGAUGGGUAGCGGGUGUGAGAGCACGACCCGCGUCAUUGGGACUGAGACACUGCCCAGACACCGACGGGUGGCUGCAGUCGAGAAGCUUCGGCAAUGGGCGCAAGCCUGACCGAGCGACGCCGCGUGUGGGAUGAAGGCCUUCGGGUUGUAAACCACUGUCAGAGGGGAUGAAAUGCAGGUGGGUUCUCCCAUCUGUUUGACAUAGCCUCAGAGGAAGGACGGGCUAAGUUCGUGCCAGCCGCCGCCGUAAAAC